GUGCUUGCUUCGGCAGCACAUCUACUAAAAUUGGAACGAUAGAAGAUUAACAUGGCCCCUGUGCAAAAAUGACACACAAAUUCAUGAAGCGUUCCAUAUUUAA